rnacentral:tRNA from 1 species
GCUAUCAUAGCUCAGUUGGCAGAGCGGCUGAUUUGUAAUCAGCAGGUCGUGGGUUCGAGUCCCACCGGUAGCUCCA